rnacentral:rRNA from 1 species
UAGGCGUAAAUGAUGCGAGUUAAGUGUGGGGGCAUCUACGAGAUGGCCCUGUGCUGUAGGGUAGCCGUUAAACUCGCUGCCUGGGGAGUACGGUCGCAAGGCUGAAACUUAAAGGAAUUGGCGGGGGAGCACCACAACGGGUGGAGCUUGCGGUUUAAUUGGAUUCAACGCCGGAAAUCUUACCGGGACCGACAGCAACAUGAAGGCCAGGCUGAAGACUUUGCCGGAUUAGCUGAGAGGAGGUGCAUUGGCGUAGUCGUGU